AAGUUCCUCCAACUCCUUCCCUGUAUCAAGGGCACACGCUAUCAUUACCUAGUCAAUAAAAAGAAGUUGCGGGAGUACAUGUGCCUUCCAUAAUUAUAAUAUUUCUGAUUUUGCACUUCAACAUUCAAAAAGCUUCUGAACUUCCUGGGUGUUAUGGAACAACACAAACUUGAUAUAAUAUUUGAAGACAACACCUAAAACAGAAGUCCUUCAUUUCUAAGUUCUAACAUAGCAGACAUAAGGAAUUGUAUUCUACGCCCUUGGCAGCAUCACAAACAAGCUGUAAUAGAAAUUUCUUGGCAAAGAAUGCUUAAAGAGAUUAUCCAGCAAAAAAUGAUCUCAAGAUGGAUAGUAACUUGAUAAAGAGAAGCAAUUAAAUAUGUAUUUUCAAUAGAAUUGAGGUUUUGUUAGUAUUCAAGAUUUUAUUAUUUUACAAUUCCAUUCAGGAAAAAAAAUGAUGCACGAGUUAUAGCAGGAGAAGAAAAAAAACCUGUCAAAAAUUCUCUGAUUGA
rnacentral:misc_RNA from 1 species